AGUUCCUCCGAGGAAUGCCUUAGACGGAUGAAUCCCGCUGGUAAAUACGGCGGGAUAGGAUCCACUCUUGCAGCUGAACUUCUUUGUCUAUUUCUCUAUAACCUCGUAUAUCUUUUUACUGCGCCCGAGAAAGAAAAGAGCAAGGGUAAGGGCCCCGGGAGAAGCCACUGACUGCUACUUCCUCUGCUACAACUGGUGGUUAUGGAUGGAGAAAAAGAGGGGAGCUUUCGAUUUUUAGGAACUUCUUCUAGUUAGUAGCGAUGAAUUAGAAUGAGAGGAUCCAUCCAAAUUGGGGAGAAAGAGACGUAUCCGACGAAAGCAAGAUCUAUGAUAAUAGAUUCAGUAUGGAUUCUCUUGUAGGUAAGUUUUAGCUUGAGCUUGAUCAGGAUCCAAUCUGUACUAUAUAUUUUGAAACAUUUGUGAGAUGCCAAAGAGAGUUCGAACAAGGUUUUGAAUCAACAGGAUCUAAUCUACUGCUACCCCUCGAAAUGGAAUUGGUAGGAAUGGAAUGCCGUGAACCCAGGAUUAGGCCUCGUUAGCUCGCUUACUCUUAGUAUAGCAGGUAACCAACCUUCUUCCCUUUAUGGUCUAGCUUUGAUUUCACUCAGAAAAGAAG